rnacentral:tRNA from 1 species
CAGAAAAUAGUUUAAGAUGAAAAUAUUGAUUUUGGGGAUCAGUGAUAGAAAUUUUCUUUUUCUGA